rnacentral:lncRNA from 1 species
CUGGAGCGAGAGACCGCGCGAGCCGGGCUAGAAAGAAGUGGGCGCCGGCCGAGGCGGGCAAGCGGCGCGCCCACCAGCUGGCGCGCGUGUUCUGCACAAAGGAACUGUUUGGGGAGUUAUUCCCUGGCUGAUCAUUGGAAUGGAGCAAGGCGAGAAAGGAACAGGAAACUAUCCAAUCACUUCAGAUCCUGCUCUGGUCACCUUAGAUCUAGUGAUGUUGGCACAGCACCCCAGCCAUUAGGCUCACUGGAGACUAGCAACUCCAAGUCAGGCAUAUGUAUGCAUGCCUAUAACCCAGCACUCAUGGAAACAGAGGCAGGAGGAUCAAACUUUUGAGCCCAGGC